rnacentral:rRNA from 1 species
AAUGAACGCUGGCGGCAUGCCUUACACAUGCAAGUCGAACGGCAGCAUGACCUAGCUUGCUAGGUUGAUGGCGAGUGGCGAACGGGUGAGUAAUGCAUCGGAACGUGCCUUUUAGUGGGGGAUAACGUAGCGAAAGUUACGCUAAUACCGCAUAUUCUCUGAGGAGGAAAGCAGGGGACCUUCGGGCCUUGCGCUAGAAGAGCGGCCGAUGUCGGAUUAGCUAGUUGGUGAGGUAAAGGCUCACCAAGGCAACGAUCCGUAGCGGGUCUGAGAGGAUGAUCCGCCACACUGGGACUGAGACACGGCCCAGACUCCUACGGGAGGCAGCAGUGGGGAAUUUUGGACAAAGGGCGCAAGCCUGAUCCAGCCAUGCCGCGUGAGUGAAGAAGGCCUUCGGGUUGUAAAGCUCUUUCGGCUGGGAAGAAAUCGCACCCUCUAAUACAGGGUGUGGAUGACGGUACCAGCAUAAGAAGCACCUGCUAACUACGUG